rnacentral:misc_RNA from 1 species
GAAAUGCGAUAAGUAGUGUGAAUUGCAGAAUUCAGUGAAUCAUCGAAUCUUUGAACGCACAUUGCGCCCCUUGGUAUUCCGGGGGGCAUGCCUGUCCGAGCGUCAUUACGCACCCUCAAGCCCGGCUUGUGUGAUGGGCCCCGGCGUCUCGUUCGCGAGACGGGCCCGAAAGGCAGCGGCGGCGUCGACCCGAUGAGCCCGAGCGUAUGGGGACUUCUGUCACACGUUCGCGGUGCGGACCGGCGCCUGCUUGACUUUUCUGAUUAUCCAGGUUGACCUCGGAUCAGGUAGGGAUACCCGCUGAACUUAAGC